CACCAUAAGAAGCUGAAGCUGCCAGCAUGAUCUGAUGACUCUAUCUUCUGAAUCUUGGAUGAGGAUAUGCAGAUCAUGUUGCAGCUCCAUCUACUGGUGGG
rnacentral:pre_miRNA from 1 species